UACGUAGGGUGCGAGCGUUGUCCGGAAUUAUUGGGCGUAAAGAGCUCGUAGGCGGUGUGUCACGUCGGCCGUGAAAACCUGCAGCUUAACUGUGGGCGUGCGGUCGAUACGGGCAUCACUGGAGUUCGGCAGGGGAGACUGGAAUUCCUGGUGUAGCGGUGAAAUGCGUAGAUAUCGUAAGGAAGACCAGUGGCGAAGGCGGGUCUCUGGACAGUUCCUGACGCUGAGGCACGAAGGCCAGGGGAGCAAACGGG
rnacentral:rRNA from 1 species